rnacentral:rRNA from 1 species
AUGAAGAUCACCGUGCUCUCCUCCAGGCCCGUCAAGCCCGACUACGGCGCCUGUGGUGUACCUCCGGGCAGCACGGCCGACGUCGUCCCGCUCACCGUGCUCGACAAGGCCAACUUCGACGCGUACAUCUCCGUCAUCUACGCCUUCCGUCCGCCAGCGCCGCCCAACGCUGUCCUCGAGGCCGGGCUGGCCAGGGCGCUGGUGGACUACCGCGAGUGGGCCGGUAGGCUGGGCGUCGACGCGGCCAGCGGCGACCGCGCGAUCCUGCUCUCCGACUCCGGCGCGCGGUUCGUGGAGGCGACGUCCGACGUGGCGCUGGACAGUGUCAUGCCGAUGAAGCCCACGCCAGAGGUGCUGAGCUUGCACCCGAGCGGCGACGACGGGCCCGAGGAGCUGAUGCUCAUCCAGGUCACGCGCUUCGCGUGCGGGUCCAUCGUCGUGGGGUUCACCGCGCAGCACCUCGUGUCCGACGGCCGGGCCACCAGCAACUUCUUCCUAGCGUGGAGCCAGGCCACCCGCGGCGUCGCCGUCGAUCCUGUCCCGGUGCACGACCGCCCCUCCUUCUUUAAACCACGCGAUCCGCCUCAGGUUGAGUACGAGCACCGCGGCGUGGAGUUCAAGCCCUACAAGGAGGCCGACGAAAACGACGACGAACGCCACAUCAGGGACGGCGACGUGGUGGUGGUAAACAAGGUGCACCUCAGCCUGGAGUUCAUCUCCAAGCUCAAGUCGAGGGCGUUGGUGGGAGCGCACCGGCCGUACAGCACACUGCGGUGCUUGGUGGCGCACCUCUGGCGGUGCGUCACAAAGGCGCGCGGACUCGACGGGAGCGUCUCCACGAGCGUGGCGAUCGCCGUGGACGGCCGAGCGCGGAUGAGCCCGCAGGUGCCGGACGGCUACACCGGCAACGUUGUCCUCUGGGCGCGGCCCACCGCCACGGCGCAGGAGCUCGUGACGAGGCCGCUGCAGCACGCGGUGGAGCUCAUCAACCGGGAGGUGGCCCGGAUCAACGGCGGCUACUUCGAGUCGUUCAUCGACUUCGCCAGCUCCGAGGCGGUGCAGAAGGAGCGGCUGGUGGCGACGGCCGAUGCGGCGGAGAUGAUGCUGAGCCCCAACAUCGAGGUUGACAGCUGGCUGCGGAUCCCGUUCUACGACCUCGACUUCGGCGGCGGGCAGCCAUUCUUCUUCAUGCCAAGCUACCUGCCGGUGGAGGGCCUGCUCAUCCUGCUGCCGUCUUUCGCCGGCGACGGGAGCGUGGACGCCUACGUGCCCCUCUUCAGCCGCGACAUGGACGCCUUCAAGAACUGCUGCUACAACCUCGAGUAG